rnacentral:rRNA from 1 species
UACGUAGGGUCCAAGCGUUAUCCGGAAUCACUGGGCGUAAAGCGUGCGUAGGCGGCGUGUUAAGUGUGAUGUUAAAUCGUGUGGCUCAACCAUAUCGAUGCAUCGCAUACUGGCAUGCUAGAGGAAGGCAGAGGCAAGUGGAAUUAGUAGUGUAGCAGUGAAAUGCGUAGAGAUUACUAGGAACACCAAUGGCGAAGGCAGCUCGCUGGGACGUUACUGACGCUGAGACGCGAAAGCGUGGGGAGCAAACAGG